rnacentral:tRNA from 1 species
AGCCCAUUGGUCAAGAGGUUAAGACGCCACCCUCUCACGGUGGAAUCAGGGGUUCGAUUCCCCUAUGGGUUACCA